GACGAACGCUGGCGGCGUGCUUAACACAUGCAAGUCGAACGGAAAGGCCCUGCUUUUGUGGGGUGCUCGAGUGGCGAACGGGUGAGUAAUACGUGAGUAACCUGCCCUUGACUUUGGGAUAACUUCAGGAAACUGGGGCUAAUACCGGAUAGGAGCUCCUGCUGCAUGGUGGGGGUUGGAAAGUUUCGGCGGUUGGGGAUGGACUCGCGGCUUAUCAGCUUGUUGGUGGGGGAGGGGCUUACCAAGGCAUUGACGGAUAGCCGGCCUGAGAGGGGGACCGGGCACAAUGGGACUGAGAGACGGACCAGACUGCAACGGGAGGCAGCAGUGGGGAAUAUUGCACAAUGGGCGGAAGCCUGAUGCAACAACGCCGCGGGCGGGAUGACGGCCUUCGGGUUGUAAACCGCUUGCGCCUGUGACGAAGCGUGGGUGACGGUAAUGGGUAAAGAAGCACCGGCUAACUACGUG
rnacentral:rRNA from 1 species